rnacentral:rRNA from 1 species
UACGUAGGGGGCAAGCGUUGUCCGGAUUUAUUGGGCGUAAAGAGCGUGUAGGCGGCUUGGCAGGUCCGCUGUGAAAACUCGAGGCUCAACCUCGAGACGCCGGUGGAAACCAUCAGGCUAGAGUCCGGAAGAGGAGAGUGGAAUUCCUGGUGUAGCGGUGAAAUGCGCAGAUAUCAGGAAGAACACCCGUGGCUAAGGCGGCUCUCUAGUACGGUACUGACGCUGAGACGCGAAAGCCAGGGGAGCGAACGGG